GUUGCUUCACUGAUGAGCUAGAAAUAAUGGCCACUUGGUUAAUUGGUCAACUGUAUCAGGAAGCAUACAUAAAUUGAUGUCUCUGCCAGUUUUAAACAGCAUGAUGUUGUCAUGUAGCAUUGUGUUACCUGUCUGCUGGUAUACAU